UACGUAGGGUGCGAGCGUUAAUCGGAAUUACUGGGCGUAAAGCGUGCGCAGGCGGCGCGUUAAGACAGGUGUGAAAGCCCCGAGCUUAACUUGUGAAUUGCGCUUGUGACUGGCGUGCUGGAGUGUGGCAGAGGGAGGUGGAAUUCCACGUGUAGCAGUGAAAUGCGUAGAGAUGUGGAGGAACACCGAUGGCGAAGGCAGCCUCCUGGGCCAGCACUGACGCUCAUGCACGAAAGCGUGGGGAGCAAACAGG
rnacentral:rRNA from 1 species